UACAGAGGGGGCAAGCGUUGUUCGGAUUUACUGGGCGUAAAGGGCGCGUAGGCGGUCGUGACAAGUCACUUGUGAAAUCUCCGGGCUUAACUCGGAACGGUCAAGUGAUACUGUCGUGCUAGAGUACAGAAGGGGCAACUGGAAUUCUCGGUGUAGCGGUGAAAUGCGUAGAUAUCGAGAGGAACACCUGCGGCGAAGGCGGGUUGCUGGGCUGAUACUGACGCUGAGGCGCGAAAGCCAGGGGAGCGAACGGG
rnacentral:rRNA from 1 species